AGCAGCCGCGGUAAUUCCAGCUCCAAUAGCGUAUAUUAAAGUUGUUGCAGUUAAAAAGCUCGUAGUUGAAUUUCGGGACUAAUAUGUCGGUCGUACUUUGUACGUACUAGCAUUAUUGGUUUCUCCCUUCUGACGAACCACGAUGUCAUUAAUUUGGUGUCAUGGGAAAUCAGGACUGUUACUUUGAAAAAUUAGAGUGUUUAAAGCAAGCUCGCGCUUGAAUACAUUAGCAUGGAAUAAUGAAAUAGGACGUUUGAUUCUAUUUUGUUGGUUUCUAGGAUCGACGUAAUGAUUAAUAGGGAUAGUUGGGGGCAUUAGUAUUCAAUUGUCAGAGGUGAAAUUCUUGGAUUUAUUGAAGACUAACUACUGCGAAAGCAUUUGCCAAGGAUGUUUUCAUUAAUCAAGAACGAAAGUUAGGGGAUCGAAGACGAUCAGAUACCGUCGUAGUCUUAACCAUAAACUAUGCCGACUAGGGAUCGGAUGAUGUUAAUUUUUAAUGACUCAUUCGGCGCCUUAAC
rnacentral:rRNA from 1 species